rnacentral:rRNA from 1 species
UACGGAGGGUGCGAGCGUUGUUCAGAAUUAUUGGGCGUAAAGCGCGUGUAGGCGGUUUAUUAAGUCUGAUGUGAAAGCCCCGGGCUCAACCUGGGAAGUGCAUUGGAUACUGGUAGACUUGAGUACGGGAGAGGGCAGUGGAAUUUCUAGUGUAGGAGUGAAAUCCGUAGAUAUUAGGAGGAACACCGGUGGCGAAGGCGGCUGCCUGGACCGAUACUGACGCUGAGACGCGAAAGCGUGGGGAGCAAAC